UACAGAGACCUCAAGCGUUAUCCGGAAUCAUUGGGCGUAAAGCGUACCGAUAGGUGGUUUUGUUAGUCUUGGGUAAAAGCCAGAAGCCCAACUUCUGAGUUUGCUUAAGAUACUGCGAAACUAGAGGGGCAAAGAGGUGCUUGGAACGAAUGGUGUAGUAGUGAAAUGCGUUGAUAUCAUUCGGAACACCGAAAGCGUAGGCAGAGCACUGGGUGCCACCUGACACUGCUAGGACGAAAGCGUGGGGAGCGAAUGGG
rnacentral:rRNA from 1 species